CUCGAAGAGAGGCCCAGCCGCCUGCCGGCCUAGGCCCCAGCCUGCCUGAGCUGAGCUGUUCAAACGAGCAGUAACGGGAGUAGGAGGCGUAAACAGGCUCAGAUGUCAGACUGGUGCCUUCUCAGUACGUCUGCAGGAAUGAGAGCAGAAGUACCAAUAUAUUAUUCUGUUGGUGCAACCUGCCUUCAUGUUCAGCUGACAAGUCUCACCAGAGCAAGUAAAACAUCUGGGACAGCUGUGAUUUGGAGGAUGGGCGCCACACCUUGUGUGGCUCCUGUUGUGAGUCGGGC